GAUGAACGCUGGCGGCGUGCUUAACACAUGCAAGUCGAACGGGAAUUAUUUUAUUGAAACUUCGGUCGAUUUAAUUUAAUUCUAGUGGCGGACGGGUGAGUAACGCGUGGGUAACCUGCCUUAUACAGGGGGAUAACAGUCAGAAAUGGCUGCUAAUACCGCAUAAGCGCACAGAGCUGCAUGGCUCAGUGUGAAAAACUCCGGUGGUAUAAGAUGGACCCGCGUUGGAUUAGCUGGUUGGUGGGGUAACGGCCCACCAAGGCGACGAUCCAUAGCCGGCCUGAGAGGGUGAACGGCCACAUUGGGACUGAGACACGGCCCAGACUCCUACGGGAGGCAGCAGUGGGGAAUAUUGCACAAUGGGGGAAACCCUGAUGCAGCGACGCCGCGUGAAGGAAGAAGUAUCUCGGUAUGUAAACUUCUAUCAGCAGGGGAGAUAGUGACGGUACCUGACGAAGAAGCCCCGGCUAACUACGUG
rnacentral:rRNA from 1 species